rnacentral:rRNA from 1 species
GACGAACGCUGGCGGCGUGCUUAACACAUGCAAGUCGAGCGGUAAGGCCCUUUCGGGGGUACACGAGCGGCGAACGGGUGAGUAACACGUGGGUGACCUGCCCUCAGCUCUGGGAUAAGCCUGGGAAACUGGGUCUAACACCGGAUAUGACUCCAUGACGCAUGUUGUGGGGUGGAAAGCCUUGUGCGGCUGAGGAUGGGCCCGCGGCCUAUCAGCUUGUUGGUGGGGUGAUGGCCUACCAAGGCGACGACGGGUAGCCGGCCUGAGAGGGCGACCGGCCACACUGGGACUGAGACACGGCCCAGACUCCUACGGGAGGCAGCAGUGGGGAAUCUUGCGCAAUGGGCGAAAGCCUGACGCAGCGACGCCGCGUGAGGGAUGACGGCCU